GAGGAUGGGUAGUCCGUACGAGCGCACCCUUGUCCUUAGUUACCAGCACGUUAUGGUGGGCACUCUAAGGAGACUGCCGGUGACAAACCGGAGGAAGGUGGGGAUGACGUCAAGUCAUCAUGGCCCUUACGGCCUGGGCUACACACGUGCUACAAUGGUCGGUACAGAGGGUUGCCAAGCCGCGAGGUGGAGCUAAUCUCACAAAACCGAUCGUAGUCCGGAUCGCAGUCUGCAACUCGACUGCGUGAAGUCGGAAUCGCUAGUAAUCGCGAAUCAGAAUGUCGCGGUGAAUACGUUCCCGGGCCUUGUACACA
rnacentral:rRNA from 1 species